UAAAGCCCAACCAUCAGACUCACUGGACAAGCUCAAUAUUAAUGUUGCUGAAGCUAUCGCGCUGUGCAAUGGCAAUAUCGAUCCCACGCAACUCAAUUCCAUUGGUAAUCUACCGUAAAAUAUUUAUAAAAUGACGAAUCAAGGCAAUGGUAUUGCUUGCUGAGAAAAUAAGUUGAAAAAUUUGUACUUUAAUCAACCCAACGAAAGAAAGAGAUCAAGAUGUCACCUGGAGAAGCAUGAGAGGCGUCUUGUAGAAAGAGAGAACUGAGACUGAGAAGGCGAGCAGAGCGACGUGAGUGGAGAAAGCGACUUCUUGUUGAAUUUGGAAGCGAAAGAGGGCUGUAACCGAGACGAUAACCUGGAGACAAACUUCGAACAUGAGAACGCCAUUGAAUUUUGUUGGAUUCUACUCUACGCAUGUCAGCAUGGGCGCUUCGCAGAUGGUUCGCGACAGUGAUGUAAUGAUGACAUGGUUGUUAAGGAUUUGGGGCCCGGCCCAACAAUCAUACUUGCUUUUCCUUUUUUAAUUCGUAAAUUUUUAUGACGAUGGUCAAAUACAAAUACAGUUUUGGGUAAUUGAAAACAAAGAUCACUGACAGCACUAUUCUAUUCUGUCCUGCAGCUGAAACUGUAUCAUCAUUUCCUUAUAAAAAUUUCUCCCAAUUUCUUCUUCUUCUUCUUCACCAGAAGUGAGGCUGCUUUUAGCCUACUCAAGCAGUCAUGGCAAAGCCACAUGUCGCCUUGGAGGUUGGAAACGACGGUGUUGCUGUCAUCUCCAUGUUCAAUCCUCCUGUUAACGCCUUAGCUCUUCCAAUUAUUGCGGGCUUGAAGGAGAGGUUCGAUGAGGCCACAAGGA
rnacentral:misc_RNA from 1 species